rnacentral:lncRNA from 1 species
AGCCAUUUGUGCAGCAGACCCGAGGUUGGUACGAGAGCUUCUCGGAUGGUUCUUCGUUUGAUUUAUCAAUGUGAUUAUUGAUUACUUAUCGGCCCUUGAGAGUGUGGGACCGGGUGUUAGUGGUUGUGUGUGUGUGUGUGAAUGUGACGACAUGAGCAGAGAAAAAUGAACUUUAUUUCACAACAACCACGUUGCCCUCCUCACUGUCAGGAGGGGGCACACCUCCACGCUUUGGGCACAAGGACACAGGAAAUGGUAUGUUUAGCCAAUGGGAAAGGCCCAUCUAGGCACAAUACAGUAUUUGUAGCCAAUCAGACAGCCCCAUGUAGGCUGGGUUCUGUAUGUCUAGCCAAUGGGAAAGGCCCAUGUAGAAAGUAUAUGAGGGCAGGUACGGGGACAGAGACACACCUGACCUAGAGGUGUGAUCGAGCAGGUUGACAGUAUGUGUACACGGCAUCACUCACCGCUCAGAGCGUUUAGCUACUGUAUGUAUCUACCACAUGUCAUGUAUGUACUUCACUGAUGUCACUGGUUACUGUGUGUGUACACGGCAUCACUCACCGCUCAGAGCGUUUAGCUACUGUAUGUAUCUACCACAUGUCAUGUAUGUACUUCACUGAUGUCACUGGUUACUGUGAGAGUGACGUUUAAAAAAAAAAAAAGUGAUACAAAUGCAAAACUAGUGGAAGUUCACUGUGACUGGGUCGGUCCGGCUUUUAAUUUGAACCAAUCAGCAUUCUGUUUCCGCGGUGACGGCAUUUAUAUACAUAUGUGAUAUUAUACAUAUAAAUACAUAUUUACGAGGGCAUGUAUUAGUUUUAUUCAAAUGGUAUAAUAAUCAAAUGCUGCAGUGUGUUUAUGGCUGAUAGAGAAUUAAAAUGUACAAGUCAUUUCCUGUUUCCUGUUGUGGUUUUUAAAUUGUGAUGAGAAGUACUGUUGAUGAAAACCCUUUUACAACUUUUCUCUUCUUUUAAGUGACUACAAUAUAACUUAUUACAGAACAGAACUUAUUCAUUAUAGGACAGCACUUAUUCAUUAUAGGACAGCACUUAUUCAUUAUAGGGGAGAACUUAUUCAUUAUAGGACAGAACUUAUUCAUUAUAGGACAGCACUUAUUCAUUAUAGGACAGCACUUAUUCAUUAUAGGACAGCACUUAUUCAUUAUAGGACAGCACUUAUUCAUUAUAGGACAGCACUUAUUCAUUAUAGGACAGAACUUAUUCAUUACAGGACAGAACUUAUUCAUUAUAGGACAGCACUUAUUCAUUAUAGGACAGCACUUAUUCAUUACAGUACAGAACUUAUUCAUUACAGGACAGAACUUAUUCAUUACAGGACAGCACUUAUUUAUUAUAGGACAGAACUUAUUCAUUAUAGGACAGCACUUAUUCAUUAUAGGACAGCACUUAUUCAUUAUAGGACAGAACUUAUUCAUUAUAGGACAGAACGUAUUCAUUACAGGACAGAACUUAUUCAUUACAGGACAGAACAAUACAGAACUUAUUCAUUAUAGGACAGAACUUAUUCAUUAUAGGACAGCACUUAUUCAUUAUAGGACAGCAC